AGUGGUCGGCGCUUGUUGGGUCACGUGACAAAUCCUCCCGGAAAUUAAAGUUAAUUCGAAAUAAUAGGCAAGUUAUGUUCUUACCCAGAACGAUGCGAUUUCAAAUCUAGCUACUACUCCUGUCCCGAGUGCUCUCAUAUCGGAACUAGCCGGUUAAUCUAUUAUUUCUGCCGAAGCCUAAUCUUUACCGGAUUGGGGGAGCUACAUCUUUCUGUAAUCAUUACAGACACCUUGAUUAACACCUGCCUUUAUCCAGCGAGUGCCUUGGGCAAGUGCCGAGCUGCAGGAUGAGAAAUGGUGCACCUGUGUGCCGUCUAAAGAUAGGCUAGCAGUGGAGGGCCAGGGAGCAGACUCCAGAGGACCCAUCCGUCUCAAUCGAAGGCUGCAGCUGACACCUUACAAAGAGGCCCGGAGAGGACCGUCCCGCCUGAAACACUGUCACAGCUCGCCUGACUGGCAGUUCAAGAGCUCUUCAUUAGAAUCCCGCUGGGUCUACGGCAAAGAAAAACAAUGUGGUUGGCCCAGGACCUGUAACCUUCCCAUUUAAUCACCGCUUCAAACUGCAUUGUCUCUCCCCACCGUGGGAGCUGGUUUCCAAGGCUCUGCUGAGACUCCUAGUCAAACAACCUCCUAUGUGACCGGGCUAACACGUCUCUCUCUCCGUCACACCGGCACACAAGGAGCUUUAGGUCUCUUUACAGCUCGAUUAGCACACGUUUUAUUAGCAACACAUGCCGUAACGCAUAUAACAUCGCUCGUUUAAGGAAAUAUCAGAAGCCGAAUUAAUGUGCUGCGUAUUUACGCAAACAGAUGCUUUUGACAAACAAAUGGAGCUUGCCAGAACAGGCAAACAGCACAUAUAUUAUUUUCAGUAAUUUGUGUUUGUAGACUUGUACAUUUUUCUUGUUUGACGCUAAACUAGAGACAGCGUGUUUUCACAAAAAUAGUUCAUUUCUAUACUAUUAAUUAAUGCACUGUGUGUAAAUCAGAUACUAAUUCAAUUUCAUUUAUAAAUAUUUGCGCUAUUACUGCAUGCGUUUAUUCUUUUUUUUAAUUGAUUGUUUUUUAGGUGAAUGUCAGCUUUAUUUCCAACACGAUUUAAAAGAUAGCAUCACUUAGAUCCGUUUCCAAAUUCUGUUCCAAUAACCGUCACGUUAAUCAGAACUUAACAUGCCAAUUCACCUCGGCCGCUUUGAGAAAUGUAAGACAAAAAAAGUGAGUCGUUGAGGAAGAGAGAGAGAGGGAAAGAGACAGAGACGGAAAGAAUGACAACGAGAAGCCCCUGCGUGAUCAUAAAGAUAAAAUCUUACAGGACAUCUUCUAAAAAGGAAAGCUCUUCUUUUUUUUUUUUCCCCUGAGAAAUUGCAACUCAUAUCAUUCACUCUGUCUCUGUCAAGUGUAUAAAGAGAAAAUACAGUACCGUUUUAAUCAACCACUGAGACCUGAACAAAAGGCAAAUGAAUCCUGCAGUCUGAGUUCCAGAGCUGCUCCGGUGACCUCUUCCCUCGGCAGCCGUGCUGCAUACUGCAAAUGAGGCAGGCACCCAGGGAUUCCUGCUCACCUCACCUCUGACUGGCAUUGUGGGUUUUUUGCACUAUUAUU